rnacentral:rRNA from 1 species
UACGUAGGGCGCGAGCGUUGUCCGGAAUUAUUGGGCGUAAAGAGCUCGUAGGCGGCCUGUUGCGUCCGCUGUGAAAUCCCAGGGCCUCAACCCUGGGCGUGCAGUGGAUACGGGCAGGCUGGAGGCAGGCAGGGGAGAACGGAAUUCCCGGUGUAGCGGUGAAAGUGCGCAGGAUAGUCGGGAGGAACGACCGGUGGCGAAGGCGGUUCUCUGGCCUGUACUGGACGCUGAGGAGGCGAAA